UACGAAGGGGGCUAGCGUUGUUCGGAUUUACUGGGCGUAGAGCGCACGUAGGCGGAUCUUUAAGUCAGAGGUGAAAUCCCAAGGCUCAACCUUGGAACUGCCUUUGAUACUGGGGAUCUCGAGUCCGGGAGAGGUGAGUGGAACUGCGAGUGUAGAGGUGAAAUUCGUAGAUAUUCGCAAGAACACCAGUGGCGAAGGCGGCUCACUGGCCCGGUACUGACGCUGAGGCACGAAAGCGUGGGGAGCAAACAGG
rnacentral:rRNA from 1 species